rnacentral:lncRNA from 1 species
UUGGGAUUUCACCCCAAACCAUUGGGAUUUCACCCCAAACCGUUGGGAUUUCACCCCAAACCGUUGGGGGGGUUUGGGGCCACAACUUCUGGGAUUUCACCCCAAAAUCGCCGGAGCUCGGAGCCGCCAAAAUCGCCGGAAUUGAAACCAAAAUCGUCAGGAAUGGAACCAAAAUCAUCAGAUUGGAACCAAAAUCAUCAGGAAUGGAACCAAAAUCGUCAGGAAUUGGAACCAAAAUCAUCAGGAAUUGGAACCAAAAUCGUCAGGGUUGGAACCAAAAUCGUCGGGAAUGGAACCAAAAUCGUCAGGAAUUGGAACCAAAAUCGCCGGGAUUUGGAUGGAAAAGGAGCAGGGAUCACCCCCAAACUGAGGGGUUUUCACCCCAAAAACCUGUGGGGAUUUCAGCCCCAAAUCUCCGGAGUUUGUCCCCAAAACUGUCAGGGUUGGAACCCAAAACUGUGGAGAUUUAAUCUCCAAAUCUGGGAGGAUUUCAGCCCCAAAUCUCGGAGGUUUUUCCCCAAAACCUCUGAAAUUUCAGCCCCAAAUUUUCUGGGAUUUGUCCCCAAAUCCCCCAGGAUUUCACCCCCAAAUUUCCAGGGUUUGUCCCCAAAACUGCUGAGAUUUCAUUCCCAAAUUUCCAGGGUUUGUUCCCAAAACUGUGGGGAUUUCACCCCCAAAUUUCCAGGGUUUGUCCCCCAAAACUGCGGAGAUUUAAUUCCCAAAUCUUUGAGGUUUUCCCCCAAAACCCCAGGAUUUUUUCCCAAAACUGUGGGGAUUUCAUCCCCAAAUCUGUGAGGAUUUCACCCCCAAAUUUCCAGGAUUUUCCCCCAAAACUUCCAGGAUUUCACCCCCAAAUCUCUGAAAUUUUCCCCCAAAACUGUGGAGAUUUAAUUCCCAAAUCUGUGAGGAUUUCAGCCCCAAAUUUCCAGGAUUUUCCCCCAAAACCUCCAAGAUUUCACCCCCAAAUCUCAGAGGUUUUUCCCCAAAACUGUGGAGAUUUAAUUCCCAAAUCUGGGAGGAUUUCAGCCCCAAAUUUCCAGGAUUUUCCCCAAAAUCCCUGAAAUUUCAGCCCCAAAUUUCUGGGAUUUGUCCCCAAAUCCCCCAGGAUUUCACCCCCAAAUUUGCAGGGUUUGUCCCCAAAACUGUGGAGAUUUAAUUCCCAAAUCUCUGAGGUUUUCCCCCAAAACCCCAGGAUUUGUUCCCAAAACUGCUGGGAUUUCAUCCCCAAAUCUGGGAGGAUUUCAGCCCCAAAUUUCCAGGAUUUUCCCCCAAAAUCCCUGAAAUUUCAGCCCCAAAUUUUCUGGGAUUUGUCCUCAAAUCCCCCAGGAUUUCAGCCCCAAAUCUCGGAGGUUUUUCCCCAAAACUGUGGGGAUUUAAUUCCCAAAUCUCUGAGGUUUUCCCCCAAAACCCCAGGAUUUGUUCCCAAAACUGUGGGGAUUUAAUUCCCAAAUCUGUGGGGAUUUCAGCCCCAAAUUUCCAGGAUUUUCCCCCAAAACCUCCAGGAUUUCACCCCCAAAUCUCGGAGAUUUUCCCCCAAACUGUGGGGAUUUAAUUCCCAAAUCUGUGGGGUUUCAGCCCCAAAUUUCCAGGAUUUUCCCCCAAAACCUCUGAAAUUUCAGCCCCAAAUUUUCUGGGAUUUGUCCCCAAAUCCCCCAGGAUUUCACCCCCAAAUCUCGGAGGUUUUUCCCUAAAACUGUGGAGAUUUAAUUCCCAAAUCUCUGAAAUUUCAGCCCCAAAUUUUUUGGGAUUUGUCCCUAAAACUGCUGAGAUUUCACCCCCAAAUUUCCAGGAUUUU